GACGAACGCUGGCGGCGUGCUUAACACAUGCAAGUCGAACGAUGAAACCUAGCUUGCUAGGUCGAUUAGUGGCGAACGGGUGAGUAACACGUGACUAACCUGCCCCUUUCUCUGGGAUAACGCUCCGAAAGGAGUGCUAAUACCGGAUACUCACAUCGAGGCACAUGCCUUGGUGUGGAAAGUUUUUCGGAAAGGGAUGGAGUCGCGGCCUAUCAGCUUGUUGGUGAGGGAACGGCACACGCAGGCGGCGACGGGUAGCCGGCCAGAGAGGGCGACCGGCCACCCUGGGGCUGGGACACGGCACAGACUCCUACGGGAGGCAGCAGUGGGGAAUAUUGGACAAUGGGCGCAAGCCUGAUGCAGCGACGCCGCGUGAGGGAUGAAGGUCUUCGGAUUGUAAACCUCUUUCAGUAGGGACGAAGCGAAAGUGACGGUACCUAAAGAAGAAGCACCGGCUAACUACGUGCCAGCAGCUGCCGUAA
rnacentral:rRNA from 1 species